GUUUUUUUUGGAGCGGGCGUGUUGCAGGCACGGGGACCAAGAGCCUUGGCGAUCCAAGUGUAUGGAAGGAAGGCGAGAAGAAUCGGGACACAGGGCUGUGGAUUCACCCCCCCCCAAAAAAAACACCCUUCCUUGAAGCUGGAUUAAAGAAGCUCCUACCCUACCAGUCGCGUAAUAUGCCUGAUAGUCGCCAUGGUGACUAUCUGGGAGUCACCAAUUACAUCACUCUGAUAUAUUCCCCCACC